AUUGAACGCUGGCGGCAGGCCUAACACAUGCAAGUCGAGCGGGGUUUUCGGACCUAGCGGCGGACGGGUGAGUAAUGCGUAGGAAGCUACCCGAUAGAGGGGGAUACCAGUUGGAAACGACUGUUAAUACCGCAUAAUGUCUACGGACCAAAGUGUGGGACCUUCGGGCCACAUGCUAUCGGAUGCGCCUACGUGGGAUUAGCUAGUUGGUGAGGUAAUGGCUCACCAAGGCGACGAUCCCUAGCUGGUUUGAGAGGAUGAUCAGCCACACUGGAACUGAGACCCGGUCCAGACUCCUACGGGAGGCAGCAGUUGGGAAUAUUGGACAAUGGGCGCAAGCCUGAUCCAGCCAUGCCGCGUGUGUGAAGAAGGCCUUCGGGUUGUAAAGCACUUUCAGUUGGGAGGAAGGGUUGUGUGUUAAUAGUACACAGCCUUGACGUUACCAACAGAAGAAGCACCGGCUAACUCUGUGCCAGCCGCCGCCGUAACAC
rnacentral:rRNA from 1 species